CGGUAACAUCGUGCUUCCGGAUGAGCGAUAGCGUACACGCCAGUUAAGCUGCCGGUCGCCUUCACCGCGGUCCCGAAACCUGGCCACGCUCAAACGGUAUCACCAGGCUAGAGGUCGUGGGGUUGGGUAACGAUCGGUAGCGAAAAGCUGGCCAUCACCAGCAGCACACACGUCCACAGAAACACGUGGAAUGACCUCCACACAUCGGUGGGGAGCCACCCGUACAGCCUUUGUAGCCUAACGACGGACACGGCAACUAGGGAGGUAUCGCAGGAUAUCCAGUCCAGUGAGCGAUAGCGCGCUUACAGCACCCGUGGUACAGCGGGGCCUGCGGGGGGAACCAUAGGCCGUAAGCGGGCCCCCGUGCCUAUGGCGAGACGCAAGCGCGGUGACAACCAGUUGGAAAGUGUUGUAAAGUGUGAGAAAUAUUUGCUGUUUGACUUCAUAUAUUGAUGACUAUCAGAACUAUUCAGAACAGUUUUCAGCCAAUUUAGCAAAUGUCGCGAUGCGAUCCCCGCUCCCGUUUAGAUUGCUGCAGAAAGUCAUUGUGUGUAAUAUGUUAGUAUAACAAAGACCAGCCAAGAGCAUGUCGGGCCAUGCUCAGUGUAGGGUACCGUAGUGUAUGCAAUUUUUUUUCGGAGUGAUUAUUUUCGAAAUAGAUUCUUUUUUCAAAAAAUGGUAGUUGGAAAUUCAUAUUACGUGCUUUUUCCACUUCGUCGCCAUGAUUGAUUUAGGUACGUGCCAAAUUGCAGCUUUUAGCACUAACGAUCAUGGAGCAAAGUAAGAGAGGUAUGGGCAUUGUGAAUUUCAUCUUGCUUUGUGUGGUAGGGCACAGCCAGCGGAUUUCAUUCCAGAUCUAGAGCAGAGCCCAACUGGGGAAGUACCUCCACCUUACAGAAAACAGCAGCCAAAUAACACUAGACCCUACUCAUAGUGUUGUGUUCCUGUCGGUGAGUAAGGUUGCCAGAGCUCAACGAGGGGGGGCGGGGUUAGGGUCGGCAACGCGCAUGUAACUCCUCUGGAGUUGCAGGCGUACAUAGGCUACGGAGACUGCCAUCAGGCGGGCCGUAUGCUUGUUUGCCACCGACGUAGUAUUAAAAAAAAAGUCGCGCACCGACAGACAGACAAAUAUAGCGAAACUAUAGGUAAGGGUUCCUAGACUUCUUAGUUGACUACGGAACCCUAAAAACGAUUGUAAAAACAAUUAUUGCUAUUAAUUUCUAUCAGGCGCUUUGAAAAUUUCAGAAAAAUCAACUAUUAAAGGACUAUACAGAACAAGAAAACAUCAUAUCAUUUGAAUUUGUCUCCAUUUUCAUUCAACGCUGUAUAUCAAAACUCCCCAGUUUUGAGCCGAUGGUUCGUAUUUUAAUUAUGGACCAUUACAUACAUACCAGCUUGAAAAUCAUCUAUCAUGGAAUCGUCUGGAAAGUUUAAGGAUUGGUUAACUGGAUUUAAAAUGCAUAUGGCCGAUGUGGCGGGAGUAAAGGCAAACGUUAUGGAGAGACCCAUUUGGGUAUAAAGUUUUUAAUAGAAUUUUUACUCGUAGUAAUGGUACUUGUUAAACGCGCCUC